UACGGAGGGUGCGAGCGUUGUCCGGAAUUACUGGGCGUAAAGGGCUCGUAGGCGGCCAACUAAGUCGGAUGUGAAAUCCCCAGGCUUAACCUGGGAACUGCAUCCGAUACUGGAUGGCUUGAAUCCGGGAGAGGGAUGCAGAAUUCCAGGUGUAGCGGUGAAAUGCGUAGAUAUCUGGAGGAAUACCGGUGGCGAAGGCGGCAUCCUGGACCGGCAUUGACGCUGAGUGAGCGAAAGCCAGGGGAGCAAACGGG
rnacentral:rRNA from 1 species